rnacentral:lncRNA from 1 species
CCCAAAUAAUGCUGUAUUAGUUCUCUUGGUAUUCCUUAACUCAGUGAAGGAGACACCUAGAAUUAAUUAACACAGCACUGAUUUUCCCAGGACUAAGCCAUUUCCAAGGACUUUUGGAGCUAAAGUCAAGUCACUCCAGGCUGAGUCAGCUGGUCCUUCUGCUCAGCUCCACUCUUGAUCACCUCAACUCCAACAGACAUUGAGGGUCUUCCCAGUUUUCGGGCAUCUUCUUGUAAGGGUGCAAGCAAAGUAAGUACCUGUGGCCAAAGAAUGGAAAGUCAUGAGUUCCUGGGCAAGAAGUCAUCUACCAUAGAUAAGCUCUGUGGUUUAAUUCUCCCUCGUUUCAAAGGCAAGAGAUCGCAACACUGACAGAGGCAGGAAAGCACUGUGGGAAGGGAAGGAGCGUCAGACUCUGGGACGCCCUUUACAGGAUAAAAUACUUGAGGCUGAAGAAGGUAUGAUUCACCUCGGUCAUGGAACAAAGGCACAGUGAGACUACAAUCAGAUGUGUUCUGCCUGUUCAGUCAGCCACCUGA